UGCGUCCGAAUAGUCUUUUUUGCUUAGGAAGGUUCCUAACUGAGUGAAAUGACCCGGAAGUAUCUAAGUGGCAGCCAUGAUAAGAGUUGUUCGAAUUCUCUAAAUGCUAAGGAAAUGUGCUUCAAUGCUUCCUAUCUUAUCUCCUUUAGCAUAGGGCACACUGGACCGUCCUUUACGAAAGGAAAGGAGAUAAUGCCGUCCCACAAUUCCGUACGGCAGCAACAUUUAAAGCGAAGCACCAUUCGACCGUUCAAGAAAACAAACGAUUAACACGACUGAGUUGUGUGGUGGUUCUUAAGCUAUUACAUGCAUAGGCUUACAAUCAGAUCAUAAUCAGCAUAUUAACCAUAACACAGAAGUCUGUCUUUCAAGAAAAAGGGAUAUGAGACGUUUUUAACCAGAUUGUUUUUAAUUCAACAUGUUUGAAACUUAUGAUGAUAUGUACAGUAGUACAUGUGUAGGCCUAACAUGCCUAUCUUGCAUUAAAUUUAAUGAAUUAUUUUCAUACAAUCAUACUAAUUGGGAUUCAUGUCGAUAAAUAUGAGUGGACAGGAGGGUGAUCGUGAGCAACCAUUCUCAAUGUGACAACCAUUUUGUUUCACUUUUGUGACUGGUAGCCUAUAUUCCUUUUUAUUUCAAUUCCAAACUUGGUAAUGAAGUAAUAUUUUUCACCGGGUGGUCCACGUUUAUAGCCUGCAUGAAACACGUCAAGAACGCACGGGGCGAAGUAUCUAAGAUGCGCUUUUAGUAGUCCAUCUUCGGAACAUUGUAGUUUUACCACGGCAGACCCACGACAAUAACAUCCGCAGUCGCAUAAUUACGUAGCCUAGUGUAAGUGCAGUCGGAUUCUCUUAGCACCGCGGUUGUCUUUUCCUAAAUCCUUUUGAAUUCUCCUUCACAUCUUUCCUUAACGUCAUGACGUUUUCCAUCGAGGUCAAGGAAAAGUGGUUAGGAAAAGACAUAGGACGUAUUUGUUUUGACUAUUCGGACGCAGCCUAUAUUUCCACCAGAAGAAAUUUAGUCGGCUAAGAGGAAAUUCACCUGUUCGUUCUCCCACUUUGCUAGAUUAACGUUAGCUACACUAACAGUAGCUCAUUUCGCAACCGUCGGUCAGCUAGACUGAAAGCUGGCAGUCAAAACGAAAUGAUUCAGACUACUGCACAUAGCUAGCUAAUGAUGUCAGGUCACAUACUUUUUUUCAUUCCAUCAAACAAGACAAUUAAGCGGGCAAAGCAUAUUUUAAAAAUCCUUAGGCUAUAUUAAUCCACUAUUAUUUUUAGUGAAAUUGGAAGACGAUCAUUUUUAUUAAGAUCCAAUUAAAAUAUUUUACAUUUUUUUCUACUUUAUUAUUUAAAAUUUUUGAUGACGUUUCUGUUCUCAAAAUAGCUAUGCAUGCCAUGUACACUGUAAAAAUGGAUUUGGCUUGUUUGUUAUCCUAACUAAUUUUUUCAUGUCAAUAGGAAUGUAGGUUCGUGUAAAAAAUGUUUUAACUUAAAAUAAAUUGACAACCUCUCAACUACAUGAAAGUUUUCCUUUUACGAUGUUAUCUUAACUAAAUAAUGUAUGUGGAGUUGAAAAUGGGGCGAAGUUGGCAACGUGUGCAUCAUCACGUGGCUACGUCGUGCGUCAAGUGGCUUAUGGGAAAGCUGCGCGAAGUUGGAGCAAGUGAGAGACACAGAAAACCGGAAAAGAACAGAAGAAGAAUUGCAGAUGAGUCUACGUGACCAAAAUGCAGAGUUGAAUGCGGUGGUCUUGUAAGUUUUCUACCUACUUCUCAGGAAAUCGCAGAAGAAUAAUUGAACAUUAUAGAGCUGUUAAUGGACAUUAUGGAAGAAACUGUCCAUUGCCUUGUAUCUACAGUGACUGUCCACUAGUUUUCCGAUCACAACAAUCCCUUAAGAACCACUUAAGAGAACAUGGAGUUUUACGGCAUGGACCUAUUGGACUUUUAAACUUUAAAAUUAAUUGUCAGUUGUGUGACUUUAAUGAUCCAGUCACUAUAAAACAAUACUUGAGUCAUCUUGGGAAACAUCUGAAGAACAAAGAGACUGUUACCUGCCCUUUUAAUUAUUGUUCCUUCAAAUCCUGUGUUUACUCAACCUUCACGUCCCACAAAAGUCGAUUUCAUAACAACAGCACACUACAAGACUUUAAAUCUGAACUUGUUAUUCAAACAAAUGUGAUUGAUGAACAUGUGGCUGAUCAAGUACAGUCAGAUGUCAGUGAUAGUGAAUUGGUUUCUGUGGAUGACAAUGUAACCAAGCAGGAAGUUAACUCUGAAGUUCAGGCGAGACUUGCAUCUUUAGUUCUGCAAAGUCAAAGACAGCAAUUCAGCAAAUAGUUACAGAAUAUAGUGAUAUUGGUGUUCUAGUGAAUGAGCUAAACAAAAAGACUCUAGAUAAAGUAUUGUGGCAGCAUGGUUGUAACAUUGAUGAAAACACUCUGAAUGUAAUUAAAGAUACUUUGUGCCAGACCAAUCCUUUCAGUAACUGACAACAGAAGGUUAACGUUUUUCAAAGAAAAUUUCUGUGUAAUUAACCCAGUUGAAUAUGUUUUUGAAUAUGUAGAUUUGUCAUCAAAACAAACAUUUGUCAUCAAAACAACAUCUUGGAUGUUCUUCUGGUGUUGUUGAAUAGGGGUGGUGUAAUUGACAGAGUUUUAGAAGAAACCCAAAAAUCACAAUCUGGCCAGUACAAAUCCUUUUUUGAUGCAUCAUAUUGUAAAGAAAAUCCACUUCUUUCUGGUGAAAGUCUAAGUAUUUUUCUGGGCUUGUAUAUUGAUGACUUUGAGGUCUGUAACCCUUUAGGCACCUCAAAAAAGAAAUAUUAAUUAUGUGCAAUCUAUUGGGUAAUUGCGAUUUUACCUGUUAGAGACAGAUCAUCAUUGCCUACUAUAUAUCUUGCUGCUUUAUGCAAGAGUCAAUAUGUUAAAGAAUUUGGGUAUGGGCCAAUUGUUGAACCACUUCUGAAAGACCUACAGCUGCUUGAAAACCAAGGAAUCUACAUCAGUAGGUUAGGAACCAGUGUGAGAGGCAAAGUACUGUACAUUUCAUCAAAUAAUUUGGGGGCACAUCCUUUUGCUGGCUUUCAGGAGUCCUUUAAUGUGGACAAGUUCUGCAGUCCUUGCCAUUCGAACAGAUAUUGACACAUGUUCUGUAAGAAAUGGGGCAUUUGUAUUACGAACAAUAGAGUCACACAACCUGAACCUUGCUAAGCUAAAGGAGAACGAGAAUUUGAGAAGUGUGGAUGGGGUAAAACGUGACUGUGUCCUAAACAGACUGAAAUAUUUUCAUUGUAUAACAAGGUUUCCACCCAACGUUUUACAUGAUCUUUUGGAAGGCAUUGUACACAGCAAAAUCACUAGUGUUAAAUUAACACCCACAGUCUUAAUUUUAACACCAGCAAAGUGUCUAUAUGCAUCCACACUGUAGCGUGUUAAAGGAACACUUUUGAAAGUCUUAAAAAGUUAACACCCAAUUUGAGUUGAUUCAACACUCUACAUUGUUAAAAAUCAACACUACACAACACUUUAAGAUGUUGUAGUUACACUACACUGGUGUUGGUAUUAAAAUAAAAUGUUAAAAAGGAACACUGCUAUUUAACACCAACACCAGUGUAGUGUGAAUACAACAAAACGCAGGGUUGAAAAUUUACGAAUAGUAACACUACUGGGUGUAAAUACCAAUAACACUAUUGGGUGCAAAAUCCCCCCCUACCCCACUAACUUAAAGUAAUAAUCUCGAAAUUUUCAUUAAAAUAAAUGUCUGUUAAGUCACUAUCUAUCGCUGAAUUAGGUAACACAAUGGUGAUUGAGCAUAUUAUUAUAUUAAUUUAUAUUAUUAUUAUUAUUAUUAUAAUUUAUGAUUAAAGAACUGGGUGUCUGUGGCGACAUUCCCGGGAAAAAAUCACAAGCGGCGCAUAGAUAGUGACGCGUUUUCCAUCACCCAUCAGUGGUUGGUCCGCCAGAGAGGGAAGGCGAAGCUAACGCAACAGGCUUGCUCUUCAACUCACUUGUGUGUGGGCGGCGUACAGUUUUUUCCGGUGUCUGCUAGCGUUAAAGGUGGGGGGUUAUGGAACCCUAAUAAGUUUUUGUGUAACAUGAGAGGUCAUAUUAUUUGUUGAUGUAGAUUUCGUAUUACAUUUGAUGACAAUGCAACGUUACUAAAUUACAUAGCUAUUUGCACAGCUAACACUAGCUACCGGACCAUGUCAAUAAAGGCAACAUUAGUUUAGACAACGUUGCGCACAGUAUCCAUCUCUCAUAUCAGGUAACGUUGCGUUAGUUAGCUAGCUAAUGUAAUUAACACAAUCUAAUGUCAGCUAACAAUUAUAAAAAACGCUAGCUAACGCUACUGACCGGUACCGACCUCGCAAACCGUCUCUCGAAUGCAAUGCUACCUUGUUGCAGCGUUGCAAUGUAGCUAACUAAAGGCCAGUUCAGAUCAAUGAUUCGCAACAAGACUGAAUGUAACUGGAAAAAUUCCAAGACGUCUGAUUGUAAACGUUCUAAAACUGCACUUGGCGAUUUGACAAGGUGGGUCUUUUGAGACCCUAGGCAACGGGUUCAGAGGCUCUGCAACUAACCAGUUCUCACCGCUGCAAUUUUCUCUGCAACAUUCUAAAACCGUUUCGUCUCGUUGCGAAUCAUCGAUCUUAACUGGCCUUACCGUUAUUUACAUUGCCAUCAAGUUCAUCAAUAUAUAAGCAUAGGUGGAGCAGAGCUGGGUCUGAUUUCUGUGUAAAGAUGUCAAGCCGAAGAAAACUAAAUAAAAGAAUACGGCAGUAUGGA